rnacentral:rRNA from 1 species
UACGGAGGGUGCAAGCGUUAUCCGGAUUCACUGGGUUUAAAGGGUGCGUAGGUGGGUUGGUAAGUCAGUGUUGAAAUCUCCGAGCUUAACUUGGAAACUGCCAUUGAUACUAUCAGUCUUGAAUAUUGUGGAGGUCAGCGGAAUAUGUCAUGUAGCGGUGAAAUGCUUAGAUAUGACAUAGAACACCAAUUGCGAAGGCAGCUGGCUACGCAUAUAUUGACACUGAGGCACGAAAGCGUGGGGAUCAAACAGG